GAGUUUGAUCCUGGCUCAGAACGAACACUGGCGGCAUGGAUUAGGCAUGCAAGUCGAACGAGAAAGCUCUCUUCGGAGAGUGAGUACAGUGGCGAACGGGUGAGUAACGGGUGGAAAACCUGCCCUUCAAUGGGGGAUAACAGUUCUAACGAGCUGCUAAUACCGCAUACGAUCUUUUGGUCGCAUGGCUGAAAGAUGAAAGGUGGCCUCUCUUUGAAGCUGCCGUUGAAGGAUGGUUCCGCCUCCCAUUAGCUUGUUGGUGGGGUAAUGGCCUACCAAGGCGACGAUGGGUAGCCGGCCUGAGAGGGUGUCCGGCCACACUGGGACUGAGAUACGGCCCAGACUCCUACGGGAGGCAGCAGUCGAGAAGCUUCGGCAAUGGGCGAAAGCCUGACCGAGCGAUGCCGCGUGAGCGAAGAAGGUCCUAUGGAUUGUAAAGCUCUGUCAGAUUGGGAAGAAAACCUUACGGUUAAUACCCGUGAGGCUUGACGGUACCAUCAGAGGAAGCACCGGCUAACUCCGUGCCAGCAGCCGCGGUAAUACGGAGGGUGCAAGCGUUGUUCGGAUUCACUGGGUAUAAAGGGUGCGCAGGCGGCCUGUUAAGUCAGGGGUGAAAUAUGACGGCUCAACCGUCAAACUGCCCCUGAAACUGCCAGGCUUGAGUCCGGGAGAGGAANGUGGGAAUUCCAGGUGUAGCGGUGAAAUGCGUAAAUAUCUGGAGGAACACCAGUGGCGAAAGCGGCCUUCUGGCC
rnacentral:rRNA from 1 species